AACGAACGCUGGCGGCAGGCCUAACACAUGCAAGUCGAACGCCCCGCAAGGGGAGUGGCAGACGGGUGAGUAACGCGUGGGAACAUACCCUUUCCUGCGGAAUAGCUGUGGGAAACUGGAGUUAAUACCGCAUACGCCCUACGGGGGAAAGAUUUACCGGGGAAGGAUUGGCCCGCGUUGGAUUAGCUAGUUGGUGUGGUAAAGGCCUACCAAGGCGACGAUCCAUAGCUGGUCUGAGAGGAUGAUCAGCCACAUUGGGACUGAGACACGGCCCAAACUCCUACGGGAGGCAGCAGUGGGGAAUAUUGGACAAUGGGCGCAAGCCUGAUCCAGCCAUGCCGCGUGAGUGAAGAAGGCCUUAGGGUUGUAAAGCUCUUUCACCGAUGAAGAUAAUGACGGUAGUCGGAGAAGAAGCCCCGGCUAACUUCGUGCCAGCAGCCGCAGUAAAAC
rnacentral:rRNA from 1 species